UCCAAUGUACAAAAUGGUAAUUUCCUUUAAAAUUUUCAGACGGCAGACAAAUGGUCAUUAGUUCCUCCCUAAAAGCACGACCCUUUCUCCCAGUUUUGCCCUCAAUUCAAUGUCUCCGCUGCAAAGAAUUCAACCAGUCGAAUAGGGGAGAAGCAAACGUCAGUGCAAUUACUAAUACAUUCAACUUUGAAAUCAAUUCUUCCCACGAAACUGAAAUCAAUUACUGAUAACAUCAUUAAGGUUUGAUGGAUGAAACUGAUAUCACACCAAAAGCCACCAAAACCCUACGAUUUCAAUCCCAUAAAUCCGAUCAAUUCUCCCUCUCCAGCACUUGGACCAGCCGAUCGAUUAUCUCUUGGAAGUGACAGGGUUCCUCUAAUAGAAAAAGAUCAGAUUCUUUAUAAAUAAGAUAUCUUGCUAAGCUUAGCAAGUGUUCGGUGUUACCGAGCUGUGGCCAACGUUGACUACUUGACCGCCGCCAACCCCUUAGCUCUCCUAGAUGAUGCUUUGUUUCAAAUCACAUGGAGACUUCGAGAAAAAUUUUUAUUCAAAGUAUUACUUUCAGCUUCGAAGUGGAGAGAGUCGUCAUCUACCGAGCAUGUGGAAUAUGAUCAACGCCUUCCAAAGUAAGUAGUCUGGUCCAAAAUGUCCACAUACAUAUUAUAUGGGUCAGGUUUUGUAUCAUCCAAAUUUCCGUGGGGCUAAUUGAGCGGUUGGAAUCAAGGCAUGAGGAUUUCAGUGGGCGCGAGGUUAUCUUUGGUGGACUAUCGAGACAAGAAGACUGGAUGCAAUCUGGUCGACUAAGUGCCGCUACAACUGUUUCAUUAAUUCUCUACGGGUGCACUCAAACAAAUAAUGGAUGGUUCUCUCAGGGAUGGGUAUACGAAUACCCCUCUGUUGAUUUAUGUAUUUUUAAGUCUGCCUUGGUAAAUGGUGUGUGUAAAAGUUUGUUAUGAUUCAAGGUAUUCUGUUUUUACGUGAUUUACUAGGGUGCUAUUUUGGUGGUCUUGUAUGACGCAGAUCCCUUGUGCUUAUAUACAGCCAACACUUUGCUGGGCUGGUACUUUGUAUGCUCAGUUGUUUAAGGAAGCUCUUUAUUGCUGGUAAAAAAAGAAUGGUUAUCUUGGCAAGGUUACCAGACUCUGUUUGGUCUUACUAUAAAUGCGGCCAAAGGAGAUGAAAAGGGCGUUGCUCUGCAAGCAAUUGUAUUCUGGAGUUCUGAAGAGAUUGAUCAUAAGGGUUCUAAACCUGGUGAAACCAGUGAUUCAGAUCCUCAUUCUCUUUUCAUUGAAACGGCUUUAUCAUGUGGCUGGAGGGACAUGUUUAGGUCUUGUUGCUAGAACUGUAGAUGAUGCUGGUAUUCCUUUGGUUAGGUCAUUUGUGCUAAAAAAAUAUAUUAAAGGCUGAUUGGAAAUCUCGCGAGGCUGCCACACAUGCUGGUGGGUCAUAUCUUGAAGACGUAUGUGUCGAAUUGGUUGAUUCUGGUCUACAAUAUUUGCAUCUGUUACACGUUUUGCUUAUUUUUUGUAUAUUAUGUGUUUGCCAUGUUCUAGCUUUACUACAGUCUAAAUUAACCCGCUUGAAUACAUGACUUUAGAGUUAUAUCAUAGGAGGUUGAAAUGCUUUGUAUUUAUUAUAAAGAGUGAUUACAUUGAAGGGUUGUUUUGUAUCUAAUGAAAUAUGCAAGUAUUAAUUUGAUUGGUGUUUUAAAUGAUUA